UUCAAAUAAAAAUGUUCGAAAUAGUAGAGGUGAAAUGUUGGUAGGAAUUUUUGGUGGUCAAAUGAUUUUGUUUGGGGGGGGGUAAGAAUAAUUAUCAAGAACUAGGUAUUGUUAUGCAUGUAUAAUUUUUUUUUAUUAAGUACCAUUAAAAUAUGAUAUAAUAUACAGGGUGAUUUUCUUAGCAUUCUCACACCAUUUUUAUGGUUGAAUUA